AUCCCGCUGACGAAUCCCAAAUAGAAUGGAACGCGUAUCCUGGAU
rnacentral:hammerhead_ribozyme from 1 species